rnacentral:rRNA from 1 species
AUUGAACGCUGGCGGCAUGCUUUACACAUGCAAGUCGAACGGCAGCGGGGGCUUCGGCCUGCCGGCGAGUGGCGAACGGGUGAGUAAUACAUCGGAACGUGUCCUUAAGUGGGGAAUAACGCAUGGAAAGAUGUAUUAAUACCGCAUAUCUCUCAGGAGGAAAGCAGGGGAUCGAAAGACCUUGCGCUAAAGGAGCGGCUGAUGUGUGAUUAGAUAGUUGGUGGGGUAAAGGCUUACCAAGGCAACGAUCAGUAGCCGGUGUGAGAGGACGACCAGCCACACUGGGAGUGAGUCACGGCCCAGACUCCUACGGGAGGCAGCAGUGGGGAAUUUUGGACAAUGGGCGAAAGCCUGAUCCAGCCAUGCCGCGUGAGUGAAGAAGGCCUUCGGGUAGUAAAGCUCUCUUAGUCGGAAAGAAAGUG